UUUAUUUUUACGUUAUGCUAUAUAUGAAGUGUGUGUAUGCGUCAUGUGUGUGAAGAAGUUGUCGCUGUGAUAGUGGAUUUGAAUUCACAUAACUUCUGGUGGUCUCGCAAUUGCAAUUGGAUGU